rfam:Ovis aries breed Texel chromosome 10, whole genome shotgun sequence.
UCUCAUAGCUCAGUUGGUAAAGAAUCUGCCUGCAAUGCAGGAAACCCUGGUUCAAUUCCUGGAUUGGGAA